CUCUAUGGAGCAGUAUCAGACUCAAAUUCUGACUUGAAUUGAGUAUGAUAACGUCAGGCUAGCUUCCAACCCUCCUGGACUAACUUUAGCCAGACUGACACAGCAAAGGGAUAAAACUGGGAUCAACAGUCCCUAAGAAGCUGGACAGCAGAACCUUGACAGAAUCUCAUUGACUAACAGCUGGAGACACAAUCUCUGCUGGUAGAGAUGAAGUCAGAGGGACAGAAGGACAACCUGUCUCACUCAGCUGUAGCUAUGAGACAACAUGAGUAUCCUGUCCUCCAUUGGUCCAAACCUGGUUCUGAAAAAAUGAAAAAUGAACAGCAGGAAAAAAAUAGUUCCUAACCCUAUAGUUAGCAAACCAGCAGCUGUGGUGACGUUCUCUGACUCUGGGAUUCCUGGACUGACGCUAAAAGCAGACAGCAGGUGCCGUAGGUCCAAGGUGGAAGGAAGAGAGACGAAAGAAAAAAUGAAAAACACAAAAGUUAAGUCUCCUGGUUACAUGGCCGGGGUGGCCAUGUGUGCACGUUGGCGCACGUGAACAGCUUCCUGCCCAGAAAAUGCCUCCACCAGCACAAGAUGGUGGAGGGGACGUCCAGCAGAUGAAAACGUUCUCCUGCUAACUGCUUUAUAAAGUUAUGCAUUCCUUACUUCUUCACUAGAUAUGUUCUUCUGAAAGGUGAUGCUGUGUUCCUGUGUUUAUCCUCUGCAUAUAUGCGCACAGGAGGUGGAGGGGGAGAAGGGAGGAGGAAAUGAUGGAGAGGAGAUAGAGAGGCAUGGCUGGGCAUCCAACUUGUUUUGGUUUGUAGAUGGAGCUCCAGCCCCACCUGGUGGUGAAAUGCCACUUACUGCUCAUUUAAUAAACACCUUACUGAAACACUGUGUGAACCUGGUAUAAAAUGAAAUAAUAAGUAUCACUAAUAAAA